UAACUACUCAAGCCUGGCUUGGUGUUGGGGUCCGCGGUCUCGCGGCCCUUAAAAUCAGUGGCGGUGCCGUCUGGCUCUAAGCGUAGUAAUGCUCUCGCUAUAGGGUCUUGCGGUCCCCCGCCAGAACCCCCCAUUUUCUCA
rnacentral:misc_RNA from 1 species